CCUACGGGGGGCAGCAGUGAGGAAUAUUGGUCAAUGGGCGCGAGCCUGAACCAGCCAAGUAGCGUGAAGGAUGACUGCCCUACGGGUUGUAAACUUCUUUUCUCAGGGACGAAGAAAGUGACGUUACCUGAGGAAUAAGCCACGGCUAACUACGUGCCAGCAGCCGCGGUAAUACGUAGGUGGCAAGCGUUAUCCGGAUUUACUGGGUGCAAAGGGCGUGUAGGCGGGAAAGCAAGUCAGAUGUGAAGACCAUGGGCUCAAACUGUGGCCUGCAUUUGAAACUGUUUUUCUUGAGUACUGGAGAGGCAGACGGAAUGCCUGGUGUAGCGGUGAAAUGCGUAGAUAUGACGAGGAACACCAGUGGCGAAGGCGGUCUGCUGAACAGCAAUUGACGCUGAGGCGCGAAAGCGUGGGGAUCAAACAGGAUUAGAUACCCGAGUAGUC
rnacentral:rRNA from 1 species